GAGCUAAUGAAUUGAAACAGCUGUGGUGAGCUCACCGCCGUGGCUUUGACUCCUGGUCAUAGAGAGCAAACCCUGCUCAUCUUCUCUCUCUUUCUGACCUCAAACUCUCCUCUUCCAGGGGAGGGUCAAAACUCUCACGUAACUUCACCCUUACACGGAUUUUCACCACGGCCCUGUCAGGGCUGCCCAAAGACAUGGGAUCAUACUGGGGCUCCUGGGGGGCUGCCAGGACUUUUUGUAGCACUUUGGCCUUGAAUGUAGCGAAGAUCCUCCCUCUCUGUGGGCACGACCCCUGCGGCAUUUCCCAGACUACGCACAGAGUGGCAGCAGAGGCACAUUCACCUUGAAGAUAAUGUCAUCUGUUCUCUCUCUUUGCCAAACCUGCAGAAGGAGCCUCCCAAUUUGGUAUUUGUAAUUCCAUCUUCUCCAUUGAGGACACCCAGUACAAUAUAGGAACCUACAAAACCCGGAUCAGCCCGUGUGGUUCACUCAACGACCAUUCUAACCCCUUUCUCUACCAUGUAAGCUGGGAGGUAGGGUGUUCUAUUUCAUAGACUCCUUCGCAGCUAACGAUGGCCUUGGGACGCAGUGCUGGGCAGUGAGAUACGGGUGAAGUCGCUGCGAAGGGCCUCCCCCUCUAAAUAAACAGAAAAGCCUCACGAUGA